rnacentral:rRNA from 1 species
UACAGAGACUGCAAGCGUUAUUCGGAUUCACUGGGCGUAAAGGGUGCGCAGGCGGCCAUGUGUGUGAGGCGUGAAAGCCCGGGGCUUAACCCCGGAAUUGCACCUCAAACUACAUGGCUAGAGCAUUGGAGAGGGUAGCAGAAUUCACGGUGUAGCAGUGAAAUGCGUAGAUAUCGGUAGGAACACCAGUGGCGAAGGCGGUCUCCUGGGACGUUCUUGACGCUGAGGCGCGAAAGCUGGGGGAGCGAACGGG